rnacentral:rRNA from 1 species
AGGUAAAAAAUCGGCGUGGUUAGCAGAACGAGUUGGAAAGCUCAGCCGGAGACUGUGAUAGCCAGGUAUGCGAAAACGACGCUGACCUUAUUCUGUAUUCUCGAGUAGGUCGGGGCACGAGAAACCCUGAUUGAAUCCGGCUGGACCACCAGCCAAGGCUAAAUAUAGUAUAUGAUUGAUAGUGAACUAGUACGGUGACGGAAAGGUGAAAAGAACCCCGGGAGGGGAGUGAAAUAGAACCUGAAAUUUUGUGCCUACAAGGAGUCGGAGCCCAGCACCUUUGAAAUCGAGUGGUACAAUGUAGACAGAUGUUCUACGUGUACGUUUUGCAAAGUGAUCGGGAAUCAGAUCAAAUUUACUUCGGUCAGACCAGUGACUUAAGACGACGUCUCUCGGAGCAUAAUUCCGGUAAGGAUACUUAUACCAAGAUAUAUGCGCCAUGGAAGGUUGUCUAUUAUGAAGCCUAUUCAUCACGCAAGCUAGCAAUGGCCCGUGAGAGGCAGUUGAAAGCUUAUGGACAAGCCAGGACUGCUCUGAAGAAGAGACUAAAUUUGAUCUGAUACUCGAUUUCAAAGGUGCUGGGUGACGGCGUGCUUUUUGUAGAACGAUCCAGCGAGUUAAUUUUUACGGCGAGGUUAAGUCAGAUGAUGAAGCCAUAGUGAAAGCGAGCAUUAACAGUGCGAUUUAGUCGUAAGGAUUAGACCCGAAACCAGGUGACCUAACCAUGAGCAGGUUGAAGCAACCUUAAUCGGUUGUGGAGGACCGAACCAGUGUAUAUUGCAAAAUGCUUGGAUGACUUGUGGUUAGCGGUGAAAUGCCAAUCGAACUUGGAGAUAGCUGGUUCUCCGCGAAAUAGUUAUAGGACUAGCGUCGUGUGAUAGCUUACGGGGGUAGAGCUCUGUCAAGAGAUAGGGGGAGCAAUCCUACCUACUCUUAAUAAACUACGAAUACCGUAUGUCUGUAUCACGGCAGUUAGAACGUCGGUGCUAAGAUCGGCGCUCAAAAGGGAAACAGCCCAGACCAUCAUCUAAGGUCCCCAAAUUUACGCUAAGUGGGAAACAAGGUGGAAUUUCUUAAACAGCUAGGAUGUUGGCUUAGAAGCAGCCAUUCAUUUAAAGAGUGCGUAACAGCUCACUAGUCAAGAGAUUCUGCGUGGAAGAUAUAACGGGGCUAAGCGUAAUACCGAAGAUAUGGAUUGCAAUUUAUUGCAGUGGUAGCGGAGCGUUCCUAUCGGCAGUGAAGCCGGACUGUUAAGUACCGGUGGAGCGUUAGGAAGUGAGAAUGCUGGAACGAGUAACCAUAAGACAGGUGAGAAUCCUGUCGGCCGAAAGAGCGAGGUUUCCUGGGCUAUGGUAAUCAUCCCAGGGUUAGUCGGGCCUAAGCCGAGGCGUUUAGCGUAGGCGAUGGACAUCAGGUUAAUAUUCCUGAACUAGUCAAACUUUGUAUGCAGUUAGCGAUGAGAUAGGUGGAGCGGAUUCAUGGUUUAUCCGUUCAAGUGAUAGAGGAAUCUUGAUCGAGUAAAAGUGAACCUACGGGUUUACGAUUCCGCUGAAGGCAUUGACCAGAAAAGCUGGCAUACGCAUGGGUUUGGCUACCCGUACCGCAAACCGACACAGGUGCUCGAGUCGAGGAGACUAAGGCUUACGAGAGAAUGAUUGCUAAGGAACUCGGCAAUACAGCGACCGUAACUUCGGAAUAAGGUCUGCCUACAUUUGUAGGCCGCAGCUAAAGAGCCCACGGAACUGUUUAUCAAAAACUCAGGUCUCUGCUAACACGAAAGUGGAUGUAUAGGGGCUGAAACCUGCCCGGUGCCGGAAGGUUAAGGGGAUUGCUUCACGGUGAGAACUGAAGCCCCGGUGAACGGCGGCGGUAACUAUAACCGUCCUAAGGUAGCGAAAUUCCUUGUCAGGUAAGUUCUGACCCGCACGAAUGGUUAAAUCAUGUGGGCACUGUCUCAGCAAUUAUCUCGGUGAAAAUGCAUUGGCGGUAAAGAUGCCGUCUGUCCGCACCAGGACGAAAAGACCCCGUGGAGCUUCACUACAGCUUUACAUUGUUGUGGGUUCUAACUUGUGUAGUAUAGGUGGGAGACUUUGAAGCAGAUACGCUAGUAUUUGUGGAGUCAUCAGUGAAAUACCACCCCCGUUAGGAUCUGCAUCUAACCUGUGCCGUUAUCCGGUAUAGGGACCGUGUAUGGUUGGUAGUUUAACUGGGGCGGUUGCCUCCUAAAGAGUAGCGGAGGCGUUCAAAGGUU